AUAGUUUCCUGAAGAGAGUGAGACAGCACUGGAGCUGCUUGACAGCUUGUGACCUGGUGACGAACCUGGCUGCGUUACCCUCCUUCUUUCCUAUAGUGCUUAAUCUUCCUCGUCAUGGCUGCAAAAAGCUUAGCAGGACACACACAGCUGCAGUAGGCUCCAGGCAAAGAUAAAAACCAGGGAUUCAGGGUUGAAGUAAAU
rnacentral:misc_RNA from 1 species